rnacentral:rRNA from 1 species
CACAAGCAGUGGAGUAUGUGGUUUAAUUCGAAGCAACGCGAAGAACCUUUACCAGGGCUUGACAUCCCUUGAAGCAGCUAGAGAUAGCUGUGUCCUUCGGGACAAGGAGACAGGUGGUGCAUGGUUGUCGUCAGCUCGUGUCGUGAGAUGUUGGGUUAAGUCCCGCAACGAGCGCAACCCCUGUGGUUAGUUGCCAGCAAGUAGCGUUGGGCACUCUAGCCAGACUGCCGGUGAUAAAUCGGAGGAAGGUGGGGACGACGUCAAAUCAUCAUGCCCUUUAUGUCCUGGGCUACACACGUACUACAAUGGCCGUUACAACGGGAAGCGAAGGAGCAAUCCGGAGCAAAUCCCUUAAAGGCGGUCCCAGUUCAGAUUGUGGGCUGAAACUCGCCCACAUGAAGGCGGAAUUGCUAGUAAUUGCAGAUCAGCAUGCUGCAGUGAAUACGUUCCCGGGCCUU